UCCACCAACUACAAAUCACCCACAACCAGUGUGUGGUAAGCACAUCCUUUUACCACAACACCAAAGAACUCUAGCCAAUAUCCUUCGAAGCCCUACUACAACACUUCACAGGAAAACAUGCCACAGGCCAAAAAGUACAAGGUAGUCACUACCUCUCUCAAUCCCAAAACCUUCCAAGCCGUGUCUCACACGGACCUCCAAUUUGCAAACCCCACCUCCAGCCAAGUCAACUAUUAGAGGCUCAUCUUCAACUGGUGACCAGAGCCAGCAGGUGAGCCACACGCAUGCCCAAUGACUCACCCAAUCUAAACUAUUUUGAUUCCUCUAAUAUCCAAAUGUAACCAGACUGAGUCCCCUUGAUUGAUUCCCGCUUCAAUCAGACUGGUUCAACAUUAAAUCUAAGCACCAUAUGUAUGAGAUAGACGAUAGCACCAGAUUUGAGAUAAUUCAAAAUACAACUAAUGCAAUUUUGAAAGAAUUAAGACACUUGCCUACUACACAAAUAGCUCCACUAGUUCAAGACCUAAAAGUUGCACAGGCAAAUGGUGUUGAUAGGAGAUACAAUGAAGAUAAUGCUGGAGACAUUAUCAAGAAAGACAAAGUAGAAGUCCUAAUUUUGAUGGAAGUUGUGAUCCUAACCUUUUAUUGGCUUAAUUCAAUGGGAGAAUAAUUUAAAUGAGUACGAUAUGUCAUACGCAUGAUGAGUCAAAUCUACCACAAUAAAAUUGGUUGGACUCACAAAAAUAUGGUCCUUCAAUAUUUCAUGUGAAUGUACCACGAAGAAAAAAAACAGAAACUGAAAAAAUGGAAUGAGAUGAAAACCACUCUUUGUGAAAAGAUAUUUACCUGUCAGCUACUUUAACAAGAUUAUUGACCAAGCAUACAUUUCAAUUCAAGUUAACAUGUUGCUUAUUAGGUACAUAUAAAGUUUGAAGAAGUAAAUAUUUGAAGUCAAGUUGAUAGUCAAGUUGUAUAUUGAUUCAGAGGAGGAUUAAGGACUAAACAAUUGAAAGAGAAUUAAUUCGACAAUUUCUGAAACCACAACCCAACCUAAUCAAGCCGCUCUUAACAUGAAAAAAUAUUUAACAUAUCCGAUUCCUAGAAAUAUAUAGUUUUUCAUUAUAGCAUCAACUUCAAACAAGAUCCUGAAUCAAAAGGCGGCUGAAGAAUGGAUCAACAUCGAUUUCAAAGUCUUUUCAAAAAUAAGGAAAUUGUUUGUUUAACAGUCGACAAAGUGGACAUAUGGUUUACCAACAACUUGCAUGUUAAAAUGAAACAUGCAGGGAAGAGACGAUGGUUAUGUAUUAUAUGAGGAUAAUGAUCUAGCUUAUGGUUAACAUGCAAAUACCUCUCUUUUUUAUAUGAUAAGAUGCAUAUCAUCAACAUCUAAAGUGGAAAAGAAGUAAGAAUAACCACCAUGUG
rnacentral:lncRNA from 1 species